ACGUAUGGAGAGAAAGGGGUUACGAGGAAGGUUUUUUUUUCCAUUUUUUUAGCAUACAUUUCAGGAUAGUGCUAAAACAAGUGGUCUUCUAGCAGAGCAUAGGAAAAUAAACUCUUUAAUAAUCUUUUAUUCAUCUAGUUAUUAUCUCGUGCGUUUAUUGUUUGUUUCACGGAUGCAGUAGCUUGUCUAUACUGUCAGCGGCGUGAAACGGAUUUCCAUUUAAUGAAUUAUUUUCAUGUUUUCUUUACAUUGUGUUUUGCCUAACAUGACACCGCUUCCUGGUGUACAUUAUACCCUUGAAGUUUUUAAACAAACAACUGAGCCUGAUCGGAUACAUACAAUGACCAAAUGUUUAGAUGAGGAUGUGACGUGCCACUUUCCAAUAUAAAUCAUCACGAAAACAAAAAAACAUAACUUGAAUGAGCAAACAGAGGAAGUAUAUUUUAAAGCUUUUUUAGCCCCGCACUGGUGAAGAAACUGCUAAUUUGUCCUAAACAACUUUUGAAAGCUUUAAUGAGACUUUAUCUGGUUGCUCUUUGCAUCUGCCAGCUACCAUAUCUGUCUUACACAAUCUAUUUCGUGGUGACGGUAUUCCCAGCGAGUAUAGUCUCAUUCGCAAACUGUCCAGAUAAGUGUGAAACAGUCUGCACUGUAUUUAGAACAGUCCAGUCUUCACUCACUAACGUGGUUUGUAGAUAAGAAACGCAGUAUAGGUUGAAUCCGCUUUGUUCUUAUUUACAUUCCUCAUUCCUGGCUCUGAAGAGCAACAUUAGCUUAGCAUAACUUUAUAUAAAAAUAUUACUGUCAGCACUAUCUGGGUCAAAAGUCCUCUGUUCUGCACUCGUGACAAAGUCUGAAUCAUGAUGAUCCCAUGUGGCCUCCCUGCAGCGAGACAUCCUCUCACAGUCUGAUAGAUUAUUGCACCGUACAGACACGAACUGUAGUAAAGGGUUGUUUUUACACAUAAUUACAGGUACAAGUGUCAAGGUCCCGUCACGAACGGGAGUCUGACUGUGACUUCUCACAGUCAGACUCAAAUACAGAUGCUCAGUCACGUAACACAGCUGUUGACGUCUGAGUCAGAGGCUGAUGUCAUGAUAUCAGUAGACUGAUUUAACUACAUUAACACAUACAAGUCAAUACCAUCUAUCUGUGGAGGUUCCUGCAAGAAAAAACACGUACCUUAGUCUGUUUUCAAAGUACUGCUGAAUAUUAAGGAAUACAAAGUUUUCUGAUUAUAAACUGUUGUCAAUAUGAUAAAUCUAACAUUAUUCCAUUGUAUACUUGUUUAAAUUAUUAUAUAAAUACGAUUUUUAGACAUUUUUUUAGAUGAAUAAAGAGCAAUAACUUGGUAUGUCCAUGGUGAUACUGUUAAUACGGGUAAUACAUAUUCAACAAAGUCAAAUUUAAGCACAAUAACAUGUGCUAACAUAACUUGUGGACAUUUACAUUUUUCCAUUUGGGUGAGGUUAAAGGUUUAAAGGAGAAAGAAGAAUAAAAGAUCUUUACAGUUUAUCAUUCCAAAGAUGACUGAAAAAGGAUAUAUAACGUCACAAUGUCAUAAAUAGAUUGCUCUCCCGGUCAACAGGCUAAAAAAGGCAAGAGGAUGUUUAACCUCUCUGAAGAAAAGGAGGAGGGAAAUCCAAGACAAACAUGGGUUUUGUGUUCAGAAAAGGAGCCUCAUCCUCCUCAUGAGACAAGAGGCCGCGAGUCAGGACCGACGCCUGGAAGAGAGAGUUCAUUAUUGGCCGAGGAUCGUGGUCGGCACAUGGCCCUUACAUAAGUCUCAGCUCACAAGCUGCCAACCCACUCAUCCACUCCCCCCGUCAAACAAAAACAUCUGGGGAUGAAGAAUCUAAUUCACAUCGACAUGGGAAAAGCGGAAACAACGCUGCUGCCUUACUAUCAAUAGACUGCUGAGUGAUGUGUUCAGAUUGUAUGGUGUUGGAGGUCAAAUCAUCUUUUUGGUCUGAGCAUAUCGGAACAAGCCAGAUUUUCAGAUUUAAAUUUAUAAACUUGCGUACUUGACGA